AUCCCCCUCCAGAGCCUGUGGGCGCAGGUCCCCCACGGAGCUGUACAUCCGGUAGUUGCCAUUGAUCCGGGAGCCAGAGCCUGGAAAAAGGAGCGAGAGCACAGCAGUGUGAGCACCUUCUCCACCAGCACUGCCAUGGCCAGUGGUCCUCCCAGAGAGCCAGCCUCUUGCUCAGCUUGUUUAAGGUCACUAUGCCUCACCCCUUGGAAAUUAAUUCAUUUCCAAUGGCUUCAAAAAAUAAUUAAUAGCAGGCUCUAUUUUGGCACGGAACUCUCAGGAGCAGACUGUCUGCUCCAGAGCUCCAGCCACACACACUUCCUGCCCCGAGGGCACAGCCCUGCUGAGCACUUUGUGCUGGCCAGGACUCAGCAGAUAAGAUUCCUUACCAAGAGCUGCUUUUUCCUCAAAGUCUUCUGGUACUGAGGGUGUUGGCACAGCCACCCCAUGGGAUUCUUGGGCAUUCUGUAAGAGUUAAAAAAACAGAGCUGUUAGUUUUAUGCUCAGGGUAUCAGAGAGAAGCAGCUGGUUAUUUGUCCACACAAACAGGGGCCUGAUGGAUCUUCCCAAGACACGGAGGUCUCUGUGGAAGCUGCUGUUGACAGGUGAGUCAAGUGAUGAGGGCUGCACGAGCCAUGGCCACAGUUCCCUGUGGUCAGGUGCAGAGGGGCUGGACAGGAGCACAGCUAUUUACAUCCCACCUCAGAGCUCCCCAGCCCGCCAGCAGCAGCAUUGGCUUCUCACCAUCCGUGUACCAAGCACAUUGAACAGCUGCCAUGGGUUCUGUGGGCCUUGCUCUCCAGCAAGCACUGCCAGCUCACACCACAGUCACACACACACCACGCUGGAGUCACAGACACACCUCCAGCUCUCUGGGAGACCGGCACCAGCAUAUCUGAACACUCCGGGGAAAACUGCUACUUGUGUGGUUUGUGUUCCACUCUCAAUUACUCCCUUCACAUUCAUGCUGAAAACUCAGCAGUGCCUUUAGCUGGCACAGGACCAUGCAAUUCAACAGCCCACACAUCCGUGGGGAUGCCUCCAGUGAGGGCACUUUGGGUAAUUACAGCCACCCAGAGAGAGAGAUCCAGGGCAGGCUGACUCACCCCAGAGCUGAUCAGGGCUCCACCUCACACACCUGCCAGGAGCAGAAAGCCUCUCCUUCCCCCAGUGACUCACUGCUGGGAUUGCUCUGAGGGGCCUGCAGUGGCUCAGGAACGUCCAUUAAUGCUCCCAUGUGCAAACCCAAACUGGUGCUGGGUCAGGCACAGACACAAGUGAGGCAGUGGCUGGACUGUCACACACCAGCACUGGGAGAGACCAAGUCCUGGGACAAUUUUGGGUGCUACAAAGAUAUAAAAUUAUUACAGUGUCCAAAGCAGGGACACAAAAAUGGUGCAGGGUCUGGAGGGGCCCUACAAGGAGCAGCUCAGGGCACUUGGUCUGUUCAGUUGGAGAAGAAGAGACUGAGGGGAGACUCAUUGGAGGCUGCAGCUCCUCACAAGGGGCAGCUCCAAUCCCUGCUCUUUGUAAGCAGUGACAAGACCCAAGGGAAUGGCUGGAUCUGUGUCAGGGCAGGGUCAGGUUGGAUAUCAGGGAAAGGUUCUUCCUCCAGAGGGUGGUCGGGCACUGAACAGGCUCCCCAGGGCAAAGGGCAUCGCCCCAAACUUGCCAGAGCUCAAGGAGUGUUUGGACAACGCUCUCAGGCACAGGGUGGGAUUCUGGGGUGUCCUGUGCAGGGCCAGGAGCUGGACUGGAUGAUCCCUGUGGGUCCCUUCCAGCUCAGGAUAUUCUCUGAUUCCAUGCAAUGACACUCUGGGAGCAGCAAACUCACAGGCAGUGGUCAGGGACAUCCCAUCCCAUUCCCAGGCUCCAGGUCCACCCUGUUGCACUCCUGCUCCCCCCAGGCAGCUGUUUGCACUGUUAACAGCCCUUUACAAAGGAAACAUUAUCCUGCCAUCAGCCUGCCCCUCUCCCGGAGUGGUUUCCUGCACACAAAAGCCCGGAUAAUGAUUGAGCCCCUGCCCUUUGCCUUUCACUGCCACUAUCACCAUUUUUACAUCAGGCUGCCACGGGAUUCCAAAGUCUCCUUGAGCAAAGGUCAAGUUGGGUUUAUUCAUCCAGCCCCUUCCAGGCUCAGACAGCACGUUAAGGUUUCACACAGCCCUGGUGUGGAGAGCUCAGGAGGUGCCUGAUGGGCAGAGCUGAUUUAACAGCAGCAGCCUGGGCUCCUGCAGAAGAGCCCUGGAAUGCUCCAGCUUUGGACAAAACAAUAAGAAAAUACACAUAUUUCACUUGCUAGGUCCAUCACCCUGCAGAUGACCAAGGAUCCUCUAUAACCACAUGGGAAUGAGCCAGUUACUGGUGAGCCAGGAGUGAAUGAGUGGGAAUUCACAUUCCUGGGAUUGCAGGAUGGAUCAGACAACAUUUUGCUGAUGGAGAAGCCAAGGUCUGCUAAGGCAUCAGGACAGAUCUGUUAGUGGCAAAACACCAGGCUAGAUACAGGGCAAGGUAGAAGAAAGAUCCUUAACUUCAACUGAAAGCCAGAGGGAAGGCCAAGGCCAACAGAGGUAUUUUAUGAGCCAAUAAUGACACUGUCCUGAGUAAUGAGAUAUCAGAAACUACAAAGAAAAAAAACCCCAGCAGCUCCCAUUUGCUAUGGAAAUCCACUGCUGCCAGAGCACACCGAGGAUACCUGCUCAUUUACAGGGCAACAAAGAUGUCUGGGCACUGAAUUCAAAGCAGAAUAUGCAUCACAUGUUUGGAGAGGAGUGGAAAGGGACUGACAGUCGGAAGAGAGCUAUGCAAAGCUGGAGGAAACAGUCUGCACUUCAGAAAUGAAGUGGUAAUUUUGGACAUGUCAUUUCAAACUGGGCAAGCCUGUUUCACACCAAAAACUUCUGUUAGCAGUUGCUAAUGCUCAGCAUCUCUCUGAAAAAAACCACCCAUCCCCACGUCAUGAGCUGGCUCCUGAAAUGGAAAGCAUCCCCAGUACCCUGCCAGAGCCUCCAGAGAUGGUUGGGAAGAUUGUUCCCUGCCUUUGCUCGGGGUGUGACCAGCCCUGCAAACCUCCAGCUGAUUCAGAGCAGGCUCAGGGUGCUGGGCCAGGAACCUGCAUUUCCAGUUCGUGGCACCAGGCUCAGAUUUGUGCAGGGGAAGCUUUCACUGGAACCACCAGGAAUCACUUUUCAUCCUUGGAACACAGCAAGAUGUCCCCAGUUAUGAGAAAUAAAAUAAGGGGGUUUUUAUAUGUGAA